GGGUAGCAAAAAAUUAAAAAAAAUUAAAAUAAAAAUGUUAGGGUAGUUGGUUGCUCUCACUGUUCAUCUUCAGGUGAUGAAACAAAUCCAAGAAUAAAUCGGUUGGCUCUCCCAAGAUUUCAUGAUUUCAUCUUUCAUCCCAGCAGGAGGAUCCACCUGAGCCCUCCAGAACACUCCGCCACUUUCUCGCAUUUUCUCUCUCUCUCUCUCUCUCUCUCUCUCUCUCUCUCUCUGUAGAACACUCAAUCGCUUUCACGCAUAUAUACAGUCUUUCUCUGUGCAAAAUCUUGAAUCGCAGUGUGUUAUCUUUGAUUUUAAGGUGCUUCAUCCAAUCCCUUUCCCUUUUUUUGCUUCUUUGUUUCUGGGUUUUUCUUUUUUAUGCGCAUUUUCAAGACUGCAGAUCUGGGAAUCCAGCGAAAACUUUUUGUCCACUCUUUGUAAAAACAGUUUUUACCAAUGAAUGAGCAUAUAUAUAUAUAUUUAGUUAUACAUAUGGUGGAAUUUGUAAGUUUUCAUGUGUAGGGUUUCCGUAUUAAAAUCUUUUAUUUGAGAACUAGGGUUUUAAAGAAGUUGUAAGUGUUUCUUCUGUUAGCUUGGUUCUUGUUUUUUUUGCUAUUGGAAGGCUGACUUUAGGUUUUCUUAAAGUUUUAUGCUUGGAACACAUUCCGAUUGUAAGUUACCUAGUCCCAUCUAUUUAUUUAUUUUUAAAAUUUAAAACCAAAUCUAGUUUUGGUUGAGUUUUUUUAAUUUUUUUAUAUAAAUGUUUUUCCAUUUUUUUUCUUGGGUACUGCUUUUGGGUUUGGAAUUGGAGUUUUUGUUUCUCCUUUUUAGUCUUUUGCUUCUGAUUGAAUUAAGAUGGUGGAGGAAAUAUACUAAAUAUUUCAUCUUUGUCUUUGUGAUGAUUAGAAAACUGGGUGGAAAUUGGUAGUCUCUAUGCUGAUUUUGAUGAAAUAUUGAGUUAGGCUAUCCUUUCUUGGUGUUGUGGUUGGAAGAUCUGACAUCCUUAUUGUUUUAUAAUGGAUUAUGUUUGGUUUUUGUUAACUGUAAUUUAGAUGUUUUUGAUGAUCUACCUAAUAGGAAGCUGGACAAUAUAAUAUUUUUGUUGGAUUUUCAUUUUAUUUUGUCCUUGGAUGUUAUACUGCAUGUGAUAAUACUACUUUUGCAGUAAAGAAAUCUUGAUUUUACAUUGACCAAGUUAAUUGAUUGAUUUGUCAGUAUACAGUUUUGAUUUCAUGCUUGGAAGAGUUGGGAUCAUGCAUGCUCUCUAGUAAGGGUGUUAAUUUUUGUUUAUAGAGUUUGAUUGUGCUGAGAACUGUGGGUAUUAUUUAUUUUUUCAUAAUUUUAGUGAUCAUCCUCUUGUGCUCUUCAUUGGUUGCAAGGUCAAGAAGGCAUUGAACAGGAAUUACAACUUUAUGGUAAGCAUUUCCUGUUUGAUUGUUUCUUAUUUUGUGUCUUCUUUUUUCAAUGCAGAUCUAUCCCAAGCUUUGAUGCACAAUUGUUUGACGACGAGAGAGAGCACGCUCGUCAGCAUUCAUGUGUGGACAUGAUUGUAUACAAGCGUGCUGUCUAUCGUCGUCAUGAUUUGCUUGUCAAGGCUUGCCUGUUUCCUCUUCAUCUGUGCUUCCUUUCAUUUGUGCCAGCAGCCAAAGAGAGACUUUAUUGAUGAAAACACAAUUACAAAGUGAUGAGAUAUAUCAAUAAAGGGAAGGGGAGGGGAGGGGAGGGGAGGAGAGGGCAUAAGCAUCACAGUAAAGCAACCCCAUCCCAACUAGGUUGGCAUCAGGAAGCAAACCGUAUCAUUUGCAAGCACUAAUUCUCAGAAGUUGGUGAGCUACCAACAAGACAGCAACAACAGAGACAAUAGCAGCAACAACAAAAUCAAACAGAGAGCAACAACAACAUCAAACAAUAUAAACAAACCAAUGUUUAUAAUUUUAUUGAUGAAAACACAAUUACGAAGUUAUGAGAUACAUCAAUAAAGGAAAGGAAAGGGAAGGGAAGGGAAGGGGAGGGGAGGCGGAAAGGAAAGUGCAUAAGCAUCACAGUAAAACAACCCCAUCCCAACUAGGUUGACAUUGGAAAGCAAACGCUAUCAUUUGCAAGUACUAAUCCUCAGAAGUUGGUGAGCUAUCAGCAAGACAGCAACAGCAGAGACAAUAACAGCAACAGCAAAAUCAAACAGCAUAAACAUACCAAUACCUGCUUGUAUAAGGUGUGAGGUAGUUCUGCAGACCGAGGCUAGAGCUGAGUUUUGCUUCCAAAUGCUGCUUGUCUCAGAUAUAUAAGGUAUGUUUGUGCCUUGUUUUAUUUAUGUGCUGCUUAGUGGCUGACAUUGUUAUAGGCUUUUGUGUAGAAACAGGAAAUCAUCUAUUGUUGUGUUUCCCAUCUUCUCUUAUGUUGAAGUAAGCAUCACAAAUAUUACCAGUUGUGUUUCCCAUCUAGAGUUGUGUUUCCCAUCUCCUCUUUAUUGAUGUAUCUUUUCAUAUCUUGUAUGUUUGCAUCAAUAAAGAUUUAUUUGCCGAUCAAAAAAAAAAAAAAAAAAUAGGUUUGAUUGCUUUGAGGUGAAUGGAGCAUUUAAAUACCUCCAAAAAUGGGUGUGUAGUUGUAUCAUACACCCAUCUGUAUGACACACGACUGCUUCUGAUCUUGUGCUUCCCAGGCCAUGAUUUUUUAAUAUACUAGCAUGGAAAAACCUAAGAAAAUGGUAAGCUUGUUUGCAUCAGUGACCAAUCUUCUCAUGUCAAAACACUUCAGGACUAAUCAUGUAAUGAUACAAGGAACCCUAGUAGACAUAAUGCUUGUGGAAUAUGACUUUUUGUUGUGAAAAGUUGUGUGAUGAAAUUCUUACACCUUACCUUUCAAGUAACUGAUCAACAAUGAAGUCCUUGCGUAGGACAUUUGUAAAUUUUUUUUCUUUUUUUGGCAAUUAUUAUACUCUUGAGAUGCUUAUCAAAAAAAGAACAAAAACUAUUACCCUCUGGUAAUGAGACACCAAUUUCUUGCAAUUUUUGAUAGCAUUGUGAACAAAAAUUAUACGACAGUUCAUGUUGGAAGUUUGGCAGUAAAUGAUUCUAUUGUAAUGCAUUUGUUUAUUUAUACAUCUGUGUCUCAGCAACAUCUGUAUUAUUUAUUUUUGUCAGAACUCUAAUUCCCGUGUGUGUCGGGAUUUGUUAAAUCUUGAAACUAUGUCUAAGAGUUUGUGUUGCAUUUUUAACUAAUAAAAAAAAUAAAAUUAUGCAUGUUUACUGUGAGUAUAUUUAGAUAAUUCUGAAAAGCUUGCCAUCUAGAUCCACAGUGUAUUUUUUUGAACGGAGAUCUACAGUGUAUGCUUCUCCACAUUUGCAUAGGUCCAACUUUCUCAUUAUAAAGCUCCAGCUGGUGUGCUGUUCAACAUGUUACUGCCAAUUGCUUUUGAAGGUUGCUCUUUUACAUCGAAAGUAUUCAUAUGAUCUUCAUGAGCCAAACCAGAUCAAAUAGUAUUUCUGGCUUGAACUGCAGUCAAAGUGAUCUUGCUGGUUUUAGUUGUUUGUUUGGAGUAAAAUGUUUAUUCUCUUUCCUAUGGAAGAACAUAGUUUAAGGAAGUCCUUCAACUGGUACACAUGUUUUUGACAGACUCAUUGCUUCGAGUGUUUUUUUUUUAAUUUUUGAAUGAAUAGAUUAUAGGAGGUACUAUUAACAUUGACA